rnacentral:rRNA from 1 species
UACGUAGGGGGCAAGCGUUGUCCGGAUUUAUUGGGCGUAAAGAGCGUGUAGGCGGCCUGACAGGUCUGCUGUGAAAACUCGAGGCUCAACCUCGAGAUGUCGGCGGAAACCGUCUGGCUAGAGUCCGGAAGAGGAGAGUGGAAUUCCUGGUGUAGCGGUGAAAUGCGCAGAUAUCAGGAAGAACACCAAUGGCGAAGGCAGCUCUCUGGGACGGUACUGACGCUGAGACGCGAAAGCAUGGGGAGCGAACAGG